AGAUUAACAUUUUUACAGCUUCGUACAAAACAAACAAAUAGGUGUGAUUAGCUCAUGUCUCGAUGGACACACACUGUACGGGGGGGUGAAUGUUUUGAUGACUCAUCAGUUUUGAUUUGAUGAAGGAUAAGAGUUAUUCACAAUAAGGCGUGUAGCUGACCUGAUUGACAGCUCUCAGCCUGUGGGUGACAUCACUCAGGCCAUCCGGGGGAGACCUCCCUCACAGCGAGCUGUUGAAGAGAAGCAACCGAAGUCCACCCCAAAAUAACCAACAAAUACAGAUGUUGUGGAGGCUCAGGUUUCUUCCUCUGUCUCUGCAGCUCUCUGGGCACCUCGACGGACAAGUCACCAAUAAUCCACACUGUGUCUAUAGGAGAAAUACAAAGGUGUUCAAUUAAUGCCUCAGACAAGACAAAAUGUACAGUUAACUACAUGUGACAGCUCAGGGUGUUUUUUUAUUAUUAGCCACAUCUGCAGGAAUAAUAUUGAACAAGGUAGCUGCAAUAAUAAUAGAUGUCAGUCUUAAACACUAUUAUUUCUAAUACUUAAAGUUUUUGGUGUGAAGCUGACACUGUCCACAGACUCCAUGACUUCACAGGGUUCUAUAGAAAACAAAUAUCUUAUAAUAAAUACUAAAUCAUUAUUUUUAAAUUGUCAUGUUCACCUCAUCGCUGUUGACAUCAGUAAAUAUAAAACACAGACAUUC